GACGAACGCUGGCGGCGUGCUUAACACAUGCAAGUCGAACGGAAAGGCCCUGCUUUUGUGGGGUGCUCGAGUGGCGAACGGGCGAGUAACACGUGAGUAACCUGCCCUUGACUUUGGGAUAACUUCAGGAAACUGGGGCUAAUACCGGAUAGGAUCUCCUGCUGCAUGGUGGGGGUUGGAAAGUUUCGGCGGUUGGGGAUGGACUCGCGGCUUAUCAGCUUGUUGGUGGGGUAGUGGCUUACCAAGGCUUUGACGGGUAGCCGGCCUGAGAGGGUGACCGGCCACAUUGGGACUGAGAUACGGCCCAGACUCCUACGGGAGGCAGCAGUGGGGAAUAUUGCACAAUGGGCGGAAGCCUGAUGCAGCAACGCCGCGUGCGGGAUGACGGCCUUCGGGUUGUAAACCGCUUUCGCCUGUGACGAAGCGUGAGUGACGGUAAUGGGUAAAGAAGCACCGGCUAACUACGUG
rnacentral:rRNA from 1 species